rnacentral:lncRNA from 1 species
GCUCAUACAGACUGUGACUGUGACUCGGUGAAGAAUAAAGACGAGCCGCUUCGGCCGAGUAACACACACACAGAUGACAACGCUAAUGUGUCGGCAGGAAGACAGCAGGCCUGUGAUGAUGUCGACGGAGUGAUGUCACAAGCCCCGCCCACUCCCUCGGAACGGCCCCGCCCCCCUGAAACCCGAGAAUAAAAAACAUUUCUUACAAAGAAACAAAAAAGGCAGUAAUGAAGGUAAUCUAUUCAUAUAUCUAAUAAAGGUCAUGUUUUUCAGCAUUUUGCUAAUAUUUUGGUUUGCAAACACAGUAACCAUUUUAUUUACAAAGCUAAUAUUUAUUAUUAAAAUAUUAUUUCGUAAUAUUUUAAUGUUUAACAUCGAUUUGCUAAAGUCAAGCCGCUGGGAUGUUUCUGGAAAACGCAUUAUAAAACAUGUCCGAGUCACAUUUCAUCCCAAAAAUCACAGUAUUUAAUUUAAUUUAUUAAUUCUUACAUAUUACAAGUUAUUAUUUCCCAACCCAUCCAAAUAUAUAUUUUUAUUUGUUUUUUUUUUCUUUUUUUUUUUUUUUUUAAAUCCCAUUCAAAUUUUUAUUUCUACAAUGUUACAUUGGGGGGAAAAAGGCUUAAUUGUUCUAAAUUUAGAUUUUUAGAUUUUUGGGUGAAACAUGACCUGGACAUUUUCUUGACAUCUCGUCAAGUUAUUAAAUAUCUAAUAGUUGUCGUUUUCUAAUGACGCUUCCAGAAACAUCUGUUCUGUAACACUGUUAGUGUGUGUUGUGCUCUGUAUUCUGUUAAACGCCUGACCUGAGUGCAUCAGCUCUCGCUCUGAGCCGAGGUCAUGUCUACAGAGCCAUCAAAUGAAUGUCAGUCAUGUCUUCAGCGUGUCUCUUUUUCUUUGACCCUCUGAAGUGGAGGGUAACAGAGGGAAUGGACGCUCUAAAAAGGGAUGUGUGUUGCAGUGAGGACGCUCUAGGAAAAGAAGAACUAAGGGGAGAAGGAAAAGCUGAGUCUGUUCCUGCUGUGAUCCUAUUAUUCCACCGGAUCUCCAUGGACCGGAUGAGAUCUGACCGCUCUUUCAUCUGCAGAGGAAGAAAUACACACUAUACACUGUGUGUUUGAGUUUGGCUUAAAGAAAUGUGUUUUUAAAUCCUAAAUCUUUCGAUUUGACCAAACUAUUUUAAAUAUUUGCACACUGUAAGAUACAUUUAUAACACAAAAACUUUGUUUACAUAAGACAGUGGUUAAUAGAGGAGAGAAAAAAAUGAUCAAUCAUGAAUUUUUGCUGUUUCUCAAAACCUUUAAACAGUCUGUUUCUGGAACCUUUAAGAUAAGUUGCUGUUAACUCUUAAUAUUGCUCUGAAUGUAAACUUUAUAUGUCCUAAAGAUGUUUGGCAUUAACCGUGAAAAGUAUUAGUUCAUUACACCAGCUCUAAAAUAUUAGUGUAAUAAAAAUGACUGGAUUAUAUUUUGCGCUUGAGGUGGACGGUUUAGUAUCUUUAUUUGAGUAUUCCCUGUGACUUUCAUAUUGAUGUUGGUAUGUAUUUUCAUCAAGAAAAUCUUUAAAUUAUAUAUAAAUAAUAAAAAAAAAUGUGUAGUCAGUGUUGAAGUUUGUUCAUUAACACUCAAGCUCACAUUCAUUUCAAUUUGAAAUGCAUUAGAAUUUUUAAUUCGUGCUGUUUCGUCUUCAAGCACACGCCCUCAGCUGUAAGCUCCGCCUCUAAAUGCAUGCCAGCCAAUCCCAAGCUCGCAAUUCUGAACGCAUACAAUGAUUGACAGACUGAUGGUGCUUUCUCAUCUCUUCUGAAUCUAAAUACAGGUAAAAUCUUAGAGACCGGAUCAGUCAAAAACAUCUGCAUUUACAUCUGCAAGUCAUAUUUUUUAAUGUGUGCUCGUUUCAGAUGUCAUAUAGACGUUUAGAAGAUGUCUUUAAGAUGUUUAUGAUUUUAAAUCAUAUAGAAAGACGUCUAGCAGAUGUUUGUAUAGAGCAGAUGCUUGAUGACUCUUGCAGAUGUUCGUGUGCUAUCUGGGUAUUGAUUGUAUCAGCUGAUGUUUCAUCACAUGCACACGCCGAACCGAUCAAUAGUGCAUUGUAGUAGUGACUUGGUAACUCAAUAAAAGCGCACUCUAGUCUGCGCAUGCGCGCGUCUCUGGGCUAGCCUUCAUUCACGCAUUUAAAUAUCAAGGCGUUUUUUGUCUUAAUGGAAACAUUUGUACGCUUACAUGUGCAAUCGUUUAAAUCGACGAACCCCAAGGAUUGGUUAGUGACACACACGCAAAGAUCUGCCUCAGCAAUCAACACGAAAUGCGCUUUGAGAAACUAUCAUCCAGUAAUCAUCAUCAUCGAUCGCGAUUGGUCAACUCUGACCAGCGCUGAGAAAAGUAACAGGUGUCACGUGACAGUGCGCGCUCUAACGCAGCGGUCUGAAUAAUUUACACCCGAGCGGAUAAACUUUAAAAACUAUUGGAAUUAUUGGAAAGUAAUUACUAAGCAGUAAAUAGUUAAAACGGAAUACGUAUUAUUUAUCCUUAUCCUGUCUAAGAAGUUCAGUGCCGCCCGUCUCCGAAGCGCUCUAUGCCCGUUCCGCCCGUUCCGCCCGUCAUCAUAUUCAUUCCGCUCCGGACGCUGCAGGAUGUCUUCGGGCUGGUCAGCGAACGACCACAAGAGCUACUCGAACCCGCCGUCAGCUGCGGAGAAACGGGCGAGACACGACUCGGGGAACAAAGUGACGGUGGUGCUGGGAGCGCAGUGGGGAGAUGAAGGAAAAGGAAAAGUUGUUGAUUUAUUGGCGACGGAGUCUGACCUCGUGUGCAGGUGUCAGGUAAUAUAAUGUCAAACAAUAAUACCUUCAUAACAAAUCAUAACCGGUAACUCUUUGUAUGAAAUGUAGUGCCUGAAUGUGACUUUGAAUAAUCGGUUGUACUAAAUGCAUAAAUAUUUUACAUGUAUCUUAAUAAUUAGUUAAUAUAUCUAAUUGAUAUUAUAACUGGAUUUUGAUAAUAAUAUCCUUAAUUAUUUUUUUCUGUAAUGACAUAAAUAAAAACAAAUUUAAUACGCUGCACUACUACUACUGCCAACAAUACUAAUAAAUUACUUAUAAAAUAUUUAUUUAUGCGUAUUAAUUAUGCAUAGCUAUAAUUAUAGCAAAGUAUGCAUGUGUCAUAAAUAUUUAUUUAGUUAUUUAUAUAAUUUUUAUUAAUAAUAUGUAUUUUAUAAAUUAAUAUAAGGAUUUAUUAAUAAUUAAAAAUGAAUAAAUUGACUAAUAUUUAUUUAUUGAUUUAUAAGGGUUUAUUAAUAAUUAAAAAUGAAUAAAUAAACAAAUAAAUAUCUUUUUAUAGGUUAUUAUUAAUAAUAAAAAAUAAUAAAUAAACAAAUAUUUAUUUAUACAUUUUUAUUAAUAAUUAAAAUGAAUAAAUAAACACAUUUAUUGAUUGAUGUAUACAUUUUUAUUCACAAUUAAAAAUUAUUAUACAUUUUAAAUAAUUCAAUCUUGCUUUACUGACGAGCUAUUUUCCGGUUUGACUCUGUAAAGCUGCUUUGAUACUAUCAGUAUUGUAUAAAGCACUAUACAAAUAAAGGUGACUUCUUAAAAAAAUAAAUAAUUGUUUAUUAUUAUUAUUUAUGUAGUUCCGAAUCUCACAUUUCUCAAAUGAUUUUGAUAUUAACAGUUUGCUGUGCAAUAAACAUGAUAUUGCUCAGUUCUUAAUUCUCUACAUAUUCCGUGUCAUCACUCUUAAUCUAUCUAUUUGUGUCUGUGUGUCUGUUGAGUGUUUACAGCCCUGUUAACUCGUGGCCUCAAGAUACUAACUCGUGGCCUCAAGAUACUAAACUCGUGGCCUCAAGAUAGUUGAAGUGUCUGACACAUGGACCCUUUGUUAUUAAACUGGACCCUGUACUGUAGUGCAAUGUAAUACUUCACAUUAUGUGCAAUAU